rnacentral:rRNA from 1 species
AUACGGAGGGUGCGAGCGUAAAUCGGAAUUACUGGGCGUAAAGCGUGCGUAGGCGGUUUGCUAAGUCAGAUGUGAAAGCCCCGGGCUUAACCUGGGAACUGCAUUUGAUACUGGCAGACUAGAGUAUGAUAGAGGGGGGUAGAAUUCCUGGUGUAGCGGUGAAAUGCGUAGAUAUCAGGAGGAAUACCAGUGGCGAAGGCGGCCCCCUGGAUCAAUACUGACGCUGAGGUACGAAAGCGUGGGGAGCGAACAGGAUUAGAAACCCUAGUAGUCC